AUGACUUCUCAUGUCAAGAAUAUCUUCAUGAAAUUAAAAAAUACUAAAUUUUAUUUGAAAAUGUGUAUCUUUUGAUAAGCAUUGUUGCUAUAUAAUUGUUUUGUUUUGAAUAUGAUUGGUCCUUUCUGAAUCUAGUGUUAACAUUUGAUUGCUAAUGUGAUAUUGGGAGAUGUGGUGUGUGAGUGGUAAAUGGGUUAUUAAGAGAGAUUAAUAUCUUAAUCAUGGGUCUGGAUUAGCUCUUAUAUGAUUGAAUUAGUCAUGCUGAGGGUAGGGUAGCAUAAAACCAGGCUAACCUUCAUGUUUUGUCUCUUCCACAGGCACCUGCUGCUUUCUUCCCUGUUAGGAUAUAGCACAAUGCCUUCACCAGAUGCAGCCAGCCAGCUUGGACUUCUAGCCUUCAGAACUGCAGCCACAUGGUCAAAUCAAUUUACUGCCAGAGACAUGGAAUUUUUGAGUGAAAAAUAAAAUGAGAACAUGUAUGCCUUCUCCAUUCAGUGAUCACCUUGAAAGCGGAUAGGAAGAAUGCCUGAUACUCAUUUCCAAGCAGUUGCCAUGGAAGCUUUUUUUCCUGAAAUACCAAAACCAGAAGUCAACUUCUUAAGAUGAGAGAUCACUGUGUCUCCUGUCAGAACAGCUAAUAACAAAAUUAUUUCAGUCAAGCUGAAGCCGGAAGUUGGAAACUCAAUCCAGGUCUCUCACAUUGGUGGCAGAGACCCAACUACCUGAGGAAUCGCUUGCUGUUUCUUGAAAUCAGAAGAGAAGCCAGGACUCAAACCCAGGUACUCUGUCACAGUUGGUAAUGUGCACUUAAUUGCUUGCACCUAUUUCUGAGUAUACUUUAAGUGUAAAACUAGGUAUGUUUGUAAUGGGGAAAAACAACUGCAGAAUUAAUAAAUGAUAUAGCUUAAAUUAGGACAAUACAAAGGUACUUAAACGUUUUUGGAAAAAUGGAAUUAACAGAUAAGCUUAUUUGGAUGCAAAAUAGUUUGAAAUCAUAGCUUUUUCAUAAUAUAUACAUUUCUUGAACUUCUUGAAGACCUCUUAUAUGUAAUAAAUUUUUAUGAGAUAAAUCUUGUAUAACCUCUAAACAACUGCAGAAAUGGAAAAAAAUUAUCCUAUUGCCCAUAAUUUAGAAUGAGAGAGAGAAAUUGAAGAUCUUACAACAUUCAUUCAUUCAUGAAACAUUUAUAUUCUAAUGUAUAGCAGGUACUGGGUUAGAUGAUGAAUAUUUAUAAACAGGAUUUCUGUCUCUCACUGUGUAAUACACAGCACAUAACAUGAUUACUGAGGAUAUAUAUAAUAUCAUGAAAGACACACACAGCUUUCCAUACGUUCUCUCUCAACUUCUGCUGUAAUUGAGUUUUUAGUCUGCUAUUGGCUACAAUUUGAUUAUGCUAUGUCAUCAACAUCUGACUGAUAGGACCAAUGCAUUUCAAAGUCAUACUCCAUUGUAACAUUUAUGAGACAAAACAAUUCUUGACAAAGCUACUUUGGGUGGGAUGCUUGAACAUAAAUCAUUCUCUAAGUCCACCAAUGUUGAUAUGACAGCAGAGAUUCAGGCAUCGUAGUUGACUUCUCCACGAUGGCAGGAAUCUGCUACAAUCAAACUGCAUCUAAGGUGCUGGCUGCUCCCUCACAAGAAAUGUGCAAUCAGGACAGCAUUUGCCUUGGCUUCUGGUAUUUAAUCAGCAGUGGUGCUAGAUCAUAUUAGGUGUUUCUGUUGUGAUCCAUCACCAUGGCGUACUUGGGGUCAAGCAUCCAGGAACCAGGGUAUUUGAUGUUCACAGAAUAUAUAUGAAGGGACUUCAAAAAAAUUUGUGAAAAAAAUGCAGUUAAAAGCAAGUUUAUGUGGUUUAAAAACUUUGAAAUCUGUGCAUUUUUUUGUAAUAUACAUUUUCUUUAAAUUCUUUGAAGGUACCUCUAUCCAUGUUUUAAAAAAGUUUUUUUAGCAAAAGAAACCUGCCUUUUAAUUCUGUUGCAACAAACUUUUUCUAGUACCCUCAUGUAUUUGCAUGUGUGUCGGUAUGUAUAAUCCAACUUCUCACACUUUAGCAAGCUUUCCAAUAGAAACAAAAAUCAUAAUUCCUUAAAAGUAGGCAUUCACAAGUUAGAAAAUACAAGGUAAGUAAUUUUCUGCUAUAAUUUCCAGACAGAAUAUUGCUGUGUAGACAUCUUGAUUUUAGCUCAGUGAGAUGUGUGACUUCAUGAAUAAUAAUUAAUUGUAGGUUUGUAUUGUUUUAACCCAUAAAGUUCGCGUUAAUUGGGUAUAGAAAUUAUGGAAGAUUCAUAUAAUCUGGAAGGCCUACUGGGGACUAGAAUAGGAACUUUUGCAGUUUAUUGUCAGUCAGAAGUAUAAGAAGGUUCCAUUGCAAGCACCUGAUUAUCAAGUUUCAGAUAAUGUAAAAAUGCAGGAGAAAAUUUUAUAUAGGGAUUUAGAAAUGAUUUGAAGGGAAUUUGACACUGUAAAGAGGGAACAAGAAGAAAGUUGAUGUCAGUAUGAGAAAUAGUGAUGGGCUCCGUCAAUGAAAUGAGCAUAUGACAGUAAAUGGGUAGCAUUGGCAUUGGACUGUUUCAACCAUAGUUUCAAUUUUUGGUUUCUAUUUUUAAAAAUUUGCACUGCACUUGGACCAAAUGUUUCUCAAAAUCAUAGCUGGAGUUAUUGUAUAUUCAUCAAAUAUUUCAUAUUUUAUUUUCUCUUUUCAAAAAAGAUUUAUUUCUUUCAAAGGCAGAGUGACAGGGUGAGACAGAGGCAGAGAUCUUCCAUCUGCUGGUUUAUUCUUCAAAUAGCCACAACUGCCUGAGCAGAGCCAGGCAGAAAUCAGGAGCCAGGAACUCAGUCUGGGUCCCCACAGAGAUGGCAAGGCCCCAAGUAUUUGAGCUGUCUCCCAUUGCUUUCCCGAGGUGCAUUAGCAGGUAUCUGGAUUGGAAGCGGAUCAGGACUUAAGCUGUUCCAAUAUGGAUGCUGAUGUCACAAGCUGUGGCUUAGCCUGCUGCACAACAAUAGAGGCCCCUGGGAGAAAAUUUUUAAAAAUAGAAAAUAAAAUUACUGGAGAGAAUAAAAACGAUAUGCAUAAAUUUGACUUUAUUUUUAAUGAUAGGAAACAGCACCAGGAAACAAUUUUUUAAUGUUUAUUUAGUUUCAUGUAGUUGAAAGGCAGAAUGCCAAAGAGAAAGACUGGGAAAUAACUUAGAUUCACUGGUUCAUUCCCCAAAUCCCUGAGACACCCAGUUGUGGACCAGGCUGAAGUCAUGAGCCUGUUAAUUCUAAAUCUCCCAUGUGGGUGGCAAGAGCCCAAGCUCUUUAGCCAUUUGCUUCUGCCUCCCAGGAUGCCUCAGCAGGAAGCUGAAUCAGAAAAGUAGGAGCUGGGGUCAGCGCUGUGGCAUGGUGGGUAAAGCUGCUGCAUACAGUGCCAGCAUCCCAUAUGGGCACCAGUUUGAGUCCUAGCAUCUCCACUUCCUAUCCAGUUCUUUGUGAUGGCCUGGGAAAGUGGAAUAUGGUCCAAGUACUUGGACUUCUGCACCAAUGUGGGAGACCCAGAGGAAGCUCCUGGCUUUGGAUUGGCACAGCUCUGGCCUUUGAUGCCAAUUGGGGAGUGAACCAGCGGAUAGAAGACCCUCCCCCUUUCUGCCUCUCCUUCUCUCUCUGUGUAUCUCUGACUUUCAAAUAAAUAAAUCUUAAAAAAAGCAGUAGCCAGGACUCAAACCAUCACUGAGAUAUGGUGUAUGGUCUCCCAAGCAGAACCUUAACAUGGUUAAGGCACAUGGCACAUCCCCAGAUAAUGUUUUAUACAUCCACAUCAAUCAUAUCAAAGAAAUGAAUAAUAUAACACUCCAGAAAACUUAAUUAGAUCAAAUUUGUCAUUAUCCUUAACUAAUAAUGUUAUUAUCACUUCCAUCAUUAAUCUUAUUUUACAAAGUCAUACAAAAUUAUCAAUAUAUUUUCUUUUUAAAUUUAUUUAUUUACUUAUUUAUCUCAGAUAUAGAGACAGGCAGAGCUCCCAUCCUCUAAUUUAGAACUCAAAUGUCCAUAAUAUUGGGACUGGGCCAGAGUGCAUUUGGGACAGAAGAACUCAAUCCUUAGCAUUUUUUCAAAUAUCUGUUAGCUAUUUGAAUUUCCUCUUGAAAAAUGUCCUAAUCAAGUCCUUUUCCCAUUACUUAACUGGAUUGGUUUUUUUGUUGAGUUUUUUUUUAACUCUUUAUAUAUUUUGAAUAUUAAUCCUUUAUCACUUGCAUAGUUUGCAAGUAUUUCUCCCCAUUCUGUUGGUUGCCUCUUCAUUUUGCUGAUAUUUCCCUUGCAGUACAGAAGAUUAUUAGCUUGAUGUAAUCCCAUUUGUCAAUUUUGGCUUUGAUUGCCUUGCUUCUGGAGUCUUUUCUAAGAAGUCUUUACUUAUGCCAGUGUCUUGCAGGGUUUCCCCAAUGACCUCUAAUAAUUUAAUUAUAUUGGGUCAUAGAUUUAGGUCUUUGAUUCAUUUUGAGUAGUUUUUUGUGUAAGGUGUAAGAUAGGGCUCUUUAUUCAUACUUCUGCAUGUGGAGAUCCAGUAUUCCCAGCACCAGCUGUUGAAGAAUCUGUCCUUCCUCAGGAAUGUAUUUUGGCUCCUUUGUGAAAGAUAAGUUGGUUAUAGAUACAUAGAUCGAUUUCUGGAGUUUCUGUUCCAUUACAUUUAUCUCUGUUUUUUUUGUUGUUGUUGUUUUUGUUAUUGUUGUGCCAAUGGAGUAUCAAUUAUUUAUUUAUUGAAAAAAACUCAAUUUCACUGAUAUUUUUGUAUUGCCUUUUUAAAAUUUUGUUUAUUUCUUAAAUUUUAAUUUUUCAUUUCUCCUACUAAAUUUGGUUUUGGUUUGUUGUUGUUUUUCUAGAUCCUUCAGAUACAUUGAUAGGUCAUUUGGUGCCUUCCAGUUUCUUCAUGUAGAAACCAAUGAUAUAAACUUUCCUCUUAACACUACUUUUGCUUUGUCCCAUGAGUUUUGAUAUAUUGUAUUGUUUUCUUAAUUCAUUACCAGAAAUCUUAUGAUUUCUCUUUUGUUUUCUUCUAUGACACACUUUUCAUUCAGGAACACAUUGCUCAGUCUCCAUGUGUUUGUAUAUGAUUUGAAGCCUCUGGAGUUGUUAAUUUCCAGCUUCAUUCCAUUGUAGUCAGAGAUGGCCUAGCAUGUGGUCUAUACUAGAGAAAGUUCCAUGCACUGGUGACAUGAACAUGUAUUCUACAACUAACUGUAGGAUGAAAAGUUCUGUAGAUACUAGUUAGGUUCAUUUUGUCCUUACUGUCAAUUAAUUCUGGUUUUUCUUUGUUGACUUUUCUGUCUAGUUGAUCUUUCCAUUGCUGGAGGUAGGGUGUUGAAGUAUCCAAUUACUGUUGUAUUUGAGUCCACGCCUCCCUUUAGAUUCACUUACAUUUCUUUUAAAUAGCCAGAUGCCCUGUAAUUGGGUGCAUAUGUUUAUAAAAGUCACAUCUUCCGGAACAGGGCCGUGGCUCACUUGGUUAAUCCUCUGCCUGCGGCACAGGCAUCCCAUAUGGGCGCCAGGUUCUAGUCCUGGGUGCUCUUCUUCCAGUCCAGCUCUCUGCUGUGGCUCAGGUGGGUAGUGGAGGAUGCCCCAAGUGUUUCGGCCCCUGCACCCACAUGAGAGACCGGGAGGAGGCACCUGGCUCCUGGCUUCAGAUCAGCAUAGCUCUGGCCAUAGCAGCCAUUUGUGGGGUGAACCAAUGGAAGGAAGACCUUUGUGUCUGUCUCUCUCUCUCACUGUCUAACUCUAUCUGUCAAAUAAAUAAAAAUAAAAAUAAAAAGUCACAUCUUCGUGUUGCAUUGAUUCCUUAAUCAUUACAUAGUGCCCUUCUUUGUCCCUUAGCAUUUUUUGUGUUACAGUCUAUUUUGUCUGAUAUCAGGAUGGCUACACCUGCUCUUUUUGGUUUCUUUUAGCAUGGAAUAGACUUUUCCAUCCUUUCCCUUGCAGUCUUCAGGUUUCUUUGUUGAUGAUAUGUGUUUCUUGUAGGCAGCAAAUAGAUGGGUUUUGGUUUUUAAUCCAUUUGACCACCUUGGAUCUUUUAACAGGAGAGUUGAAGCCAUUUAAAUUUAAGAUUACUAUUGAUAAGUAAUGACUUGGCCCUGCCAUUUCUUCAUACAUUUCCUAUUUACUUUGUAUUUCCAUUGUACUUUUACUGGGAGAUUUUCUGCCUUCAGAUUCUCUCAUAAAGAUGACAGUUUCUGAGUGAAGCACAACUUUAAGCAUCUUUUCUAAGGCUGAAUGAGUGGUGACAAAUUCUUUCAGUUUCUGUUUGUUAUGGAAGGUCUUUAUUUCACCUUCACUCAUAAAUGAGAGCUUACAGGAUACAGUAUUCUGGGUGGACAGUUUUUCUUUUUUAUUAAUGCUUUGACUGUGCCCCUUCCUUCUCUCCUAGUCUGUGGGGUUUCUGAUGUGAAGUCAGCUGUGAGUCUAAUUGGAGGUCCUCUGAAAAUAAUUUGGCAUUUAUCUUGUGCACAUUUUUGCAUCUUUUCUUUAUGUUUUACUGUUGAAAAUUUGACUACAAUGUGUUAAUGUGAAGAUAUUUUCUGGUCAUGUUUAUUAAGGGUUCUAUGUAUUUCCUCUAUUUGGAAGUCCCUUUCUUUCUCCAAAUUGAGUAAGUUUUCUGUAAUUAUUUCACUAAAUAGUUCUUGUAUUCUGUUCUUUCUUUCUAUGCCUUUAGAAACUCCUAUGACCCAUAUGUUGGGUCAUUUGAUAAUAUCCUAUAAAGCCCAAUACUGUUUUUAAUUUUUUUCCUUUUCUUUUCUGACUGUAAAAUUUCCAAAGAUUUGUCCUCAAGCUCAGAUAUUCUUUCUUUUGCCUGACCAAGUCUGUUAAGGCUUUAUGCCACAUUUUAUUUGAUCAAUUGAUUUCUUUGUUUGUAAUAUUUCAUUUUGUUUUCUAUUUAAAAUUUUAAUUUCACAAAAAAAUUUCAUUCAUGUAAUAUAUGGAUUUUGUUUAAUUCAUGGAUUUGCUUCUGAUUGCUUUUGAAUAAUCCCAUGAUUAAUCUUUUGAUUUUUUUUUUUUGGAAUUUCAUCAAACUUUUCAUCUUCACAUUCUAGUAUUGAAGGGUUAUUGUGUUCUUUUGGAAGCAUCAUGUUGUCUUCCCUAUUCUUGUUUCUUAAAUUUCUGUGUUUAUUUUUAGGUUUUUGUGGAGAUAAUUUUUUUUUUCUUUUCUGAUGCCUUUUAUCUUCAGGUUGUGUUUCUGUGGCUUAGUGGCAUGUCUGCUCUUUCAUUGAAUACCCAGAGGCAUGUGCUUGGUAUGGCCAAUGAUCUGUGGUCAGUGCUCCAGGGUGAGGGAAGUAUCCAGGGUGACACCCAAGCUGGGCAUUGUAGAUCUCUUGUUUAUCUGGUUUAACAGAGGUCUGUUGGCAAAGUCAAACCCUCACUUCCUCUCUUCCAAGGUGUUCAAUGACUGGGAACUAGCUGACAGUGGUUGUAAUAUUCAUCUGCAAUGCCACAAGAACCACACAAUAGAUUUGUGCAGUCCUCAGUGUAAGCAGGUAUCCUGCCAAAAUGAUCCACCAUAGGCAAUCGGGGAGCUCUGAUCAUGUGGAGCUGCCCAAAGCAAAUGUCCAGAGACCCAGGCACAUCCUGUGUCCUCCCACACAGCCACAAUGCUCCUACAGUCAUGGGAUGCUGAGGAUCCACUCCACCCCCACUAGUUUGUCCCAUCCACAGAGGCAGAAACACUCCCAGAGCCAGCUACCUGUGAAUGAGCUGCCUAGGCAGUUUAAAGCCCAGAGUCUGUGAUAUGUUGGGAGGCAGGGGGCACCUCACAGUCCUACAGGGGUGCCCAGUCCCCUCUCAGUCCUCCUGCCCAGACAGGCUUCUCCUCUAAGCUGGUUGCUAGGCCUGCAGACCCAAGCUGGUGCAACUGUUAUGUGUGUUCAAAAUGGCCAGUGGGAUGGGCUGCUGCAGUCUGGUGUCACCUCACUCUCCAAAUCUGGCCCUGACGCUCUUGGUCCUGUGUUGUGUCUGUGCUCAUGCUGCAUGCCCAUACCCUCCACACAGGUCCACAGCAUCCCUCUUCUUUCUGUGGAAUUUUUACCCUAACUCUUCCCUGAGAUACACUCUUUCCACUCUUUUAAAACUAUCAUCCCCUAGCCUACAGUAGUAAGCUCCCUCCCUAUUCUGCCAUCUUGGAAUCAUCCUCAUCUGUAUAUACUCUUUUGAAGCUGGCUCUUUUACUCAGUACCUUAUUUCGGGGUUUCUUUUGGUAUUUCAUAUAAUAGUUGUUUUUCUGAAUUUCAGGCUAUUAUAAAUAAUAUUGUUAAAAAUAUUCUUAUUUGAAUAUCUUUGCAUUAUAAAUAUAAAAGCAUAAUUCUCUUCAUUGUAUACCCAGCAAUAGAAUUGUUAAUAGGCAAAUUUGUAAUUAUACUGGAUAUUUCUAAAAACUUUUCCAAAGUUGCAUCAAUUUUUGCUCCCUUUAGCUGAGAAUAAGAGUGCUAGUUCCUCACAUCUUCAUCUACUAUUGUUCUUAAAUUUUCUGUUGGGUUAUGGAAUUAUUUAAUAUUUUUGAGUUGAUUUUUCAUGUGCUUAUUGACCUAUUUGCUUAUUCUUUCCCCAAACCACAAAAUUUGCAGUACUUUAGCCAUACAGAAAUUUUUAAUUAUCAAGUAAUUUAAGUCUACUAACAUUGUUCACCUUCAUCAAGACAGCGUUGGAUCACUUUAGCUCUUCUUGGUCAAGUGCCCUGCCAUAUAUAUUUUAGAAGCAGCUUGUUAAUGUACACACACACACACACACACACACACAACUACUAUGGUAUUUAUUGUGACUAGAUUUCCUAUAUAAAUUUGGAUGCAUUUGAUAUGUGUACUACUAAAUUUUUAAAAAUGGAAUUUCUAAUCACCUCUACAUGUUGUCUAAAUGUGCCCAAUUCUCCGAACCACACAGAAAUGAAAUCAUAAAUGUAAUGUUGUAUAACCUCUACCUGCAAUAUUGUAUAGAAUUGAAAAUUGAACCUAACUGUAUAUUAGGGUUGUAAAGAUUUGAUUCAUGCUUCAAUUACUAGGUUCAAAAAAAGAAAGGUUGUACAGAUGCUUAAAACUUUAAAUACUUGCAUAGUAAUAAUAUACUCCAGAUUGUUUUUGCUUUUUCUCCUUCCCUUGGUUCUCCUUUUCUUUCCAUCUGUUCUUCCUCUUAUGCUUUCUUCACUGUAAAAAAGAAUAAGGAACUAGAAAUCAGAUAGUCCACAUUGUAAUCAUGACAAUAUCUUUAAAGCACAAGAGCAAUUCAUUGACCACGUAGCUCAACUGCCUGAUUCAAAUGCUUGCUCUAACACUGACAGCUAAGGAAAUUUUACAAGGGUAAAAGUGAUAUGAAGAGAGGACUUCUGGGGAAUAAGGUACUAAACUGACUUAAAGUGAAGUGAGCAAGAACAUUUCAAACUUGAAUAAAUUAAACUUUAAAUAAAGCAUGAAGAGAAGGAAGUCUCUAAAGAAAGUAGACAAGGACCGGCUGCCUGUAUAUCCAGACGCCAGAAGGAAACACGCUCUGUCUGCCUGAGUCCUGGACCCGGAAAUGCUGCCUGAGAGUACUUACGGAGCAGUGAGAGGAAGAAACCCAUAUGCUACCGUGCAUCCGGCAGGCUCAAAUGGUCUUUUGGAUUCAGUUUAGUGCUUGUGGAUGCCACAGAAGCCACAGGGUAGGCUUUCCCUAAUCUUGCCUGAGGAUUACAAAAUAGGUUUCUCACUGUAAAUGAAACAUAAAAUAAAAAUGAAAAGAAGUUGAAACUCCUACUGCCGCCAAAGACUUCUUCAGUGGCGCUGGUACACAGUGGUAGGAGAGCUCAGCAUUCCUGCAGGGACCCCUCGCCCUAGCCAAAGGUGGCAGCACGCUGUACUGCAGCCUAGCGCCGACUAGCGGCCAGAGUGUGCCAGCCCUAUCCCAGCAGGCACCGCGUAUGAAGAGUGUGACAUGGAGUAUACACAUACACCCCUUACGCAAUGAGUACCUGUGUCCUCAGGGUUAGUGAAUUCUCUCCUAACUUGUCCUAUAGCUUGCCCACCUACUGCCUUAAGACAGUGAAUAAAGCAGGGCAAGCAAAGAAAAUUAUGCUAUGUAAAAUUACUGUUUAUCACUCUCAAUCUUUUAGAGGAAACUCAAUCAUAUACUCUCGUGAUUAAAUAUAGCCAAUAAAUUGGGUAAAGAAUAUUUAAAAAGUCAAACUGUUUUAAUCUUUGAAAAGUCACUAAAAUAUUAUUUUAUAUUGUAAAAUAUCAAGUUUUAUAAGGUUAUAUGAUUAUAUUAUCUCUUUUAUGAAAUUAAGUCUGGAAUGAACUUUCCUCAGAUUUUUGGGUUUCUAUCUUUGGUUUUGCAAGUUGUGUAUGUAGGUUGGCUAUCCCUAUUCCAAAAACCCAGAAUCUGAAUGCUCUAAAACUCAGAACAUUUGGAGCCCUGAUAUGAUGUCACAGGUUGAAAAUUCCCCACCUGACUUCAUAUGAUGAGCCAUGUCAAAACAUAUGCACACUAAAAAUAUUGUAUAAAAUUGCCUUCAGGUUGUGUAUAUGGUAUGGAUGAGACAAAUGAUUUUUUGUUGAGACUUGGGUACCAUACCCAAGAUAUCUUAUUCUAUAUAUGUAAAUAUUCCAACAUUUAAAAAAAAAGACUCUAAAACAGUUCUGGUUCCAGAUAUUUCAGGUAAGGGAUGUAGAGCCUGUAUCAGUUUUCAAUAUUAUACUUGCAAUUAGGAUUUUUCAAAAGUAUAAAAGUUUUCACCACCCAAAUUAUUCUUUCUCUGAAUAAUACUUGAGAAUAUAUUUACUAGUUGAAGGAAAGAAAUUAUGUAGAAUGAGUGUGCAUUUAAUAGAUCGUGUCAGUAUAUCAUGUCAGAACUAAUCUUUUAAAAGCUACAGAAAAAAAGUUACCUAACAGGGAGAUUUUUUCUUUACUUGUUUCUCAAAGGGAGUGUUCAUAUUUGAUCACAAAGAGAGGUCUAAAGGAACAUUUUUCAGAAUGACUCUUAAGAAAAACAGUUGUACACUAAUGAUGAAAAGUUACAAGCAUUUUCAAAGUUAUCUUCAAUGGCACUUUAUCAUUUUCUUAUUGAUUUAAGUGGCCAUAUUUAUACUACAUAUUGUUACACUUUUACACCCUGAUUAGCUGGUGAUUAUGUCAAAGGUGGAUGACUGUUUAAAUUGCCAUGUAUACCAUCCUUAGAACCGAACACUCACCUGCCACUCAAUAAAAUCCCAAUUCUUGUCUGCCUUUCAUAUAGUCCCCUAAAAGCAGAAGUGAUGCUUUACAGAUAUAUUAACAUGUUGCUGCUAUUAUUGUUCAUGCCCUCCCCCCCGAUUGAAAUAGUUCAUGUGCAGAGAUCUUAGGACAAAAUGGCAAAUCCUUAGUAUGUUGUGUAUGGCUUUGUAUGAAUUGGCUGCUUCCUUCUCCCAUGUUCCUCACACAUCUGAUCUCAUUUCUAGCACCUUUACAUUUGCUGUUCCUUCUGAAAAGUUUUCUUUUCCUUUACCAAGUGAAUUCUUUUUCUUCUGAUUUUAUCCAUUAUAAAUUCAUCAUCUCGCCGGCGCCGUGGCUCAGUAGGCUAAUCCUCCACCUGGCGGCGCCGGCACACCAGGUUCUAGUCCCGGUCGGGGCACCGGAUUCUGUCCCAGUUGCCCCUCUUCCAGGCCAGCUCUCUGCUGUAGCCAGGGAGUGCAGUGGAGGAUGGCCCAAGUGCUUGGGCCCUGCACCCCAUGGGAGACCAGGAGAAGCACCUCGCUCCUGCCUUCGGAUCAGCGCGGUGUGCCGGCCGCAGGGGCCGGCCGCGGCGGCCAUUGGAGGGUGAACCAAUGGCAAAGGAAGACCUUUCUCUCUGUCUCUCUUUCUCACUAUCCACUCUGCCUGUCAAAAAAAAAAAUUAUCAUCUCUAUUACUAAUGUUACCCAGAUCAUGCUUUUAUCUUGCCAUGCAUAAUAUGAACAACAGCUACAAUUUUACUUCAUAUUUUACAUUUUUUAAAAGUCUGCUGAAGCAAUCAAAGAUUGUUUUUACCCUAGUGUGUCUCAGUUUCAUGUAUUCUGCUGACUUUUUUUGAUGAAUAGAACUACAGACUUACUUUCUCCAUCCUUUAAUCUCACAGCAAAAUGAAUUAUCCCAUAUUCAUUAAAAAGGCAUAAUUUUAGUUCCUGGAACCAACUUUUGGAAUCUCUAAAUCAGGAUUUGUUUGUAUAAAUUGAAGUUUCUCUGUUUCUCAGUGUAUGUUCAAAUAUCUCUAAGAUUUUUAGGCCUUGACAAACCUGUCUUUGAUACAGUUGGAAUAUAAAAAUCUAAAUUGGGUUUUUAGGUCAACGAGUUCAUGUGUCUUCACUUGUCGCAUAACUCCAUAUGUAAACAUAUUAUUUGUUCAUAAUCAAACCUUCUGUUCACUAAUUGUGCCUAUUUCUUAACAGCUUAUUCUUGUUUUUGUAAGCUAUGUCCUCUAGAAUUUCUUUGAGUAAAGGAAUUAAAAUUUACAUUCUAUUGUAUGUACGGUUCUUUUGUCUCCAACAGUGAGCUUAGCUACUUUAUUUAUUUUCAAUCAUUUACUUUCUUUUCACAUGUAAUAAUUGUCUCAAUUACAUAAUGAGUCUUAAUUCACAGUUACACAUUAUGAAUAUCAUCAAUUACUAUUUAAGUGACUGUCAAUGACUAUGGUUAUGGUCUGAUAUUUUUAAAAAGAGAGUAUCCUUACUUUCUGUUUACAGAGUAUAUUAAUAGUCUUUAUUUCCAUAUAGGACCACCUCUCCGUUCCCAUUUCCUUAUUUUGGUUGUUUACGACCAAAGAGAGAUACUCUUAAUUGUUCACUGCUGUACUCCAAUAAAAUACUGAAUAUUCUGCAAAGAUACAGAUCAAUUUUGUUUGGAAAUUAUGCAUGUUGUAGUUGACAAGUGCAAUGGUCCAAGGGUUAGCUAGCAAAAUAAUACAAACAACCCAUGAAUUUAGUACUUUCCUGAUAACAUGUAUAGUCUGAUGUCUUAUUUUCCCACCCUGAGUUUAGAUCCUCUCAGAACGUUCUCAGGGAAAAAGUUUUUUAAUACCUCUAUAGUCUUCUUUUAGUCCAUUUCUUGGGUUGUGGUUUUAUCUACUGUAAUGUGUCCCCCAACACUUAUUUUGUUUUGCUUUGUUUUUCAUAAAAUAAAUUAUAAAUAUACUGUUAGUACGAUGGGUUUUUUGAGAAGUGAACAUUAAAUAUUCCAUCCUUUUAAAACUGGUAAUCUGUCUUCUCUUUUAUUAAAAUGGAUUUAGCUUGAGAUGUGCAUGGUUGUAUUUUUCAGGCUUAUAAUUUCUUUUGAGAAAUGCUUCUACAUUUCUUUUGCUGUGGUUUGGAGUAUCAUUUGACUUAGAUAAAAUGUCCUUGGAGUUUGUAAGCCAAAUCCUAGUUUCUAAGGAAUAGAAAUACCUUGGUUGCUGAGAAUGGAUCCUUGUAGUUUAUUAAUACUCUGCAUGAAUAGUUAUUUUAAACCAUUGUUCUAAUAGGAAAAUACCAAUUUGCUUUUCUUAUUGAAGUGUUUUUCUCAAAUUGAAGCUGUAAUUUUGAUAUUUGACAUGAAUAGAAAUGCUGAAAAACUGUAAAUAAUCAUUUUAUUUAAGUUAAUUAUUUGCUUUAAAAUGAAAGCAAGCCUGAUGUUUUGGCUAUUAACGAUUAACAUGUACCAAAUUUGCCCUCUUGCCUAAAAAAGUUAUUAAAAUGAACAAAAUAAGGAAUGUGUGUUGGCACAGAAAAACAGUAGACUAAACUGUUAUCCUUAAGAAAGAGGAUACAUAUAUUCAUCCUUUUCACCUGAUUUCUGUCUUUUAUCUCUUAAAAAAAAGUACAUUGUCAUGGACACUAAAUGGAGUCUGAUAGUGCCUUGGUUAUAAGACAUAGCACAGUGUUUCGGGCUGCUGUAAUACUAUGGUACUGAUGGGCUGGCAGAAGGGAACAAGAAGGCAGCAUGAGUUUUUCAUGGUUCCCAUGACAACUGCUUGCCUGCACAGUCACACUGGAACUCUGUAGAGCCUAACACUAAGCGUAGAGCAUAAGACUAAGCAACUUCUGGAAACACUCGAAGAGUUUGUACACCAACGAUGACAAGGUACAAGCAUUUUCAAAGUUAUCUUCAUUGGCACUUUACCAUUUUCUUACAGCUGAAACAGAGACAAGAAUAACACAAGCCUACAGCAUAUUCUAGAGCCACCUCCAUAAUCAAGGGUACAGUGUGUAAUGGUAUAUGCAAAGAUAUAGAAUUCAACCAAUAGAGCUCUCAAUAGGUAGUACUGAGAUAAUGUGAAGACCAAAAUAACAGUACUGAGUGACACAUAUGGAAUAAAAUAAAUUCCAAUGAGAACAUACCUCUCCAUAUGAUGGGGAUGGGGGAGAGAGAAAGAGAUAGAGAGGAGGGCCGGCACCGUGGCUCACUUGGUUAAUCCUCUGCCUGUGGCGCCAGUAUCCCAUAUGAGCACCAGGUUCUAGUCCCGAUUGCUCUUCUUCCAGUCCAGCUCUCUGCUGUGGCCUGGGAGGGCAGUGGGGGAUGGCACUUGGACCCCUGCACCCGCAUGGGAGACCAGGAGGAAGCACCUGGCUCCUGGCUUCAGAUCAGCACAGCAGCCAUUUGGUGAGUCAAUCAACGGAAAGAAGACCUUUCUCUCUGCCUCUCUCUCUCACUAACUCUGUCAAAUAAAUAAUAAAUAUAUAUAUAUAUUUCACAAAUGACAAUUAUUUUAAAAAAAGAGAGAGAGAGGGAGAGAGUGAGGGAGAUAGAGAGAGAGAGAUACAGGUAUCCAUAUUGAAGAGCAAAGAAUCCUGGUUAAUGAAUGUGAGGAAAUUGAGAGAAACAAAAUUAUUGUUAAGCAAACAGAAAUAGUUGAUGCAGGCACAACUCAACAAAGGAUGAUUAAAUCAGAAAAAAUUCUUGAGAAGGUACAGUAUAUUAGUAGUCUCCAAAUAUAUCCCCAGUAUAUUUAUUAUGAAAAGGUAAAUAUGUCAUCUUAUAAUGGAAAAACCUAGGAGAUAUCAUAUUAUUCAAGUAAUUAUUAUUAAUGUUACUAGUAAGACAUUGUAUCUGAUAUGAUACUCUGAGAAAACAAUGAAAGUUAUGCAAUAUUCUUCACCCAAAAUGCAUAACCUUAGCCUCAUCAUUAGGCAACACUGGACCAACCCAAACUGAGACAAUAACUAAUAUAACAAAACAGAAUUUUUCAAAGCUAGUGAAGUUCAUGAGAGCCAAGGAAAGAAUGGGGAACCAAAACAGAUUAGAGGAGGCUAAAGAGAAAGGAAGAACAAUGAAAAGCUAUGUAGGAUCUUGGAUUAGAUGCCAGAACAAAAAAAUUAUAGUAUGAGGAAAGAUCUGGUGAAUUUCUAAUAAUGCUUAUUGUUCCAUUGAUGAUAUUAUGCUGAUCUUAAUUAUGUAGUUUUAAUAAUUUGACUAUAGUUUUGUAAAUGUUGCCAUUUAGGGAAACUUGAUGAAAGCACACAGGGAUUCCCUAUUUCAGCAACAUGAUUGCGAGUCAAGUGUUACUUCAACAUACAUUUUAUUUUAUUUUAUUUUUAUUUAUUUAUUUGGGAGGUGGAUAUACAGAGAAGGAGAGACAGAAAUAAAAUAAUGGUUUUCCAUCUGCUGGUUCAUUCCCCAAAUGCUUGCAAAUGCUGGAGUUGAGCCUAUCAAGAGCCAGGAGUUUCCUCCGGGGCUCCCACACAGGUGCAGGGGCCCAAGGACUUGGGCCAUCCUCUACUGCUUACCCAGGCCAUAGCAGAGAGCUCAAUCUGAAGAGGAGCAGCCAGGACUAGAAGCAAUGCACAUAUGGGAUACUGGCACUGCAGGCAGAAGAUUAUCCCACUGUGCCACAGCGCCGGCCGCCAACAUACAUUUUUUUUUUUAAUGAAUGGAACUCAGUAAUCUGUGGGAAAGAAUCAAAUAGCCUAAUGUCUGUAUAAUUAGAGUCACAGCAGAAAAGAGGAGAGAGAAUAGCUCACAAAUUAAUCUGUCAAAAACUGUGGUAGAAAGUAUCAGAAAAUUGAUGACAAACAUUAGCUUACUAAACCAAAAGCAAGGAAGCAUUGAAGUUAUACUUGAUAUAACACUUUACAUGGUAUUACCAGAGCUAACUGUAGAAAAUAAAACCAACUCAGUCCAGAAUAAUUUUUAUGUUUAUUAUUUUUAAUUUAUACAGAGGGAACAGAUUUCUUAUAUUCCAUAUGUAUUGUUUUAAGAACAUAAUCAUACUUCCCACCUUUCCCCUUUCUUAUUUUUCUUUUAAUUUUUGCAAUGACAUACUUUCUUUUUUUUUAUUUGACAGAUAGACAGUGAGAGAGUGAGAGAGUGAGAGAGUGAGAGAGAGAGAGAGAGAGAGAGAGAAAGGUUUUUCUUCCAUUGGUUCACCCCCCAAAUGCCUCUAUAGUUGGAGCUAUGCCUAUCUGAAGCCAGGAGCCAGGUGCUUCCUCCUGGUCUCCCAUGUGGGUGCAGGGCACAAGCACUUGGGCCAUCCUCCACUGCACUCCCAGGCCACAGAAGAGAGCUGGACUGGAAGAGGAGCAACCAGGACUAGAACCCGGUGCCCAUAUGGGAUGCCAGCGCUGCAAGUAGCAUAUAAACCAAGUGAGCCAUGGCUCCAGCCCUGACAUACUUUCAAUUUACUUUCUAAUCACAAGUUCUACCUUCUGCUAGAUAAAUAAUUCACCAGUUAGUAAGUAGAGAAACCACAGUUCCUCAGGACUAUGGAUAAGGACUAUAAACACUAAUCACAUCUCAAAAUGGGAUGGUUCCAUAUCUCAGCGAUUGUGAGUUGAGCUUCUAUACAUGGAGGUACAGAUAAUUCUUUCAUAUCCUGAUUUCAUUUCAAUAGGGUAAAUUCCAAGGAGUGGAAUGGCUGGAUCACAUGCUAGAUCAAUGUUCAGAUUUCUGAAGAAUCCCCAGUGUCUUUGAUAAUCAUUACACUAGUAUACAUUUCUACCAACAGGUUUUAGGGUACCUAUUUGUCCAUAUCCUCAUCAUCAUUAGUUAUUUUUUGAUUUCUGUUGAGAGUCAUUCUAACUAGGGUGAGGUGAAACUUCAUUGUGUUUUUUAUUUGCAUUUCCCUGCUAACUAGUGAUACUGACCAUGUAUGUGUUGUCAUUUGUAUUUCAUUCUUUGAAAAUGCAUGUCAUAUCCUUAGCCUAUUUCUUAACCGGAUUGCUUGUUUUUCCAUUGCGUUUCUUGAGCAUCUUAUAUAUUCUGGAUAUUAAUCCUUCAUCAGAUGUGUAGUUUGCAGGUAUUUUCUCGCGUUCUGCUUUUUGCCCCUUUACUUUGUUGAGUGGUUCCUUUUCAGUGCAGAAGCAUUUGUUUAUUUUUGCCUUUUUGCCUGUGCUUCUGGGGUUUUAUCCAAUAAGUCGUUGUCUAUGCCAAUAUCUUUCAGUGUUUUCCCAUUUUCCUCUAGUAACUUAAUGGUUUCAGAUCGUAGGUUUCGAUCCCUGAUGCAUUGUUCAUUUUUGUGCAAGGUAUAUGUAGGGGUCUUGUUUCAUACAGUGGCAUGCAGAGAUCUAACUUUCCCAGCAUCUUUUGUUGAACAGACAGUCCUUUAUCCAAGGGUUGUUUUUACCUUGUUCAUCAAAUAUUAGUUGGUUAUAGAUGUGUGGAAUAAUUUCUGGGGUCUCUAAACUGUUCCAUUGGUUCACAUGUCUGUUUGUGUGCCAGUACCAGGUUGUUUUGAUUAUAUUUGUCCUGUAAUAUUUCUUGAAAUCUGAUAUUGUGAUGCUGCCAGCUUUGUUUUUAUUGUUUAAGAUUGCUUUAGCUAUUUGAGUCUCUUGGGAUUGCAUAUGAAUUUUAGUAUCAUUUUUUGUGGGUCUGAGAAGAACAUCUUAGGUAUUUCAAUUGGGUCUGCAUUCCAUCUGUAAAUUGCUUUGGUUAGUUUGGACAUUCUGAUAUUAAUUCACCCAACUGAGGAACAUGAGAGAUUUUUCUAUUUUUUGUUCUAAUUUUUUUCUUAAAUUUUGUAAUUUUCAUUGUAGAAAUCUUAUAAUCUUAUACAUCCUUGGUUAAAUUUAUCCUAAGGUAUCAAAAAUUUUUGUAGCUAUUAUGAAUGAGAUGGAUCUUACAAGUUCUUCCUCAACAUGUUAUUGUUUGUGUAUAUAAAUGCUAUUGGUUUUGGGGUGUGAAUUUUAUAUCAUGAAACUUUACCAAACUCUCUUAGGAGUUCCAGUAAUCUCUUAGUGGAGUCUUUGGUUCCCCUCUGCAAAGGAUCAAAUCAUCUUCGAAGGGGGAUAAUUUGACUUCCUCCUUUUCCAUAUUUAUCUCUUUGAUUUCUUUUUCUUUCCUAGAGGCUUUUGCUGAAACUGGUUCCGGAUCUUAGUGUAAAUGCUUCCAUCUUUUCAAUAAUCAAUAUGAUGCUGGGUAAAGUUUUUGCCAUAUAUUGUCUUGAUUGUGUUGCAGCGUAUUCCUUCUAUACUCAAUUUGCUUAAGGUCUUUAAUCCAGAAUAAAUUUAUGUUAGUGUUUACAAUGUUUUUCUACUUCCUGUCAUUAAUAUUCUAUAUGGAAAGUUACAAAUUGCCUACUAUAAAGAAAAAUUCAGAAAGACUAUGAACUCUGUAACAAUAACAUAGAUUGUCAACUUCCUGCAAUUUUGGGUUUCCUUAGUCACUUCAGUUUCCUAAAGCUGUGUGACAAAUAACAGCAUCUUUGAUGUGUAGUCUAUAGUGAACUUUUUCAAUGUUUCUUGCACCAGGAAUUUUUGUGUUUUUUUUUUUUUCUGUUUCUUAGCGUGAAUAUUUACAACUGGAUAAUUUAAUGAUAUAUAAAACAGAACUCGGUACAAAUCAUGUUGCUGACAUUUUUCCAUGAGUACUUCCUUUUUUCAAAGUUUAUUAUAACUCUGUGUACUUUUAUCUUUUCUAAAGAAACAUUUUAUAUAUUAAAAAGGCAGGAAGGGAAGGGGUGUGUGUGUGUGUGUGUGUAGAAAGAAAAAGAGAGAAAAAUUGGUUUACUCCCCGAAUGUUGUCAACAGGCAGAGAUGGACCAGGUUAAAACUAGGAGCUGGAAACUAAGUCUGGAUUUCUCACAUCAGUGGCAGGUACCCAAGUAUUUGAGCCAUCAACUGCGUUCUCCCAGUUUUCACACAAGCAGGAAGCUGUAUCAAAAAAAAGACUGAAACCCAGACACUCCACUAUGGAAUGCAGAUGUCCCAGGCACAUUAUAACCACUGUGCGACAAAUACCCACUGUAAUAUUUUCUGAUCUCUGAUUCUACAUGAUACAAAUGUCUUUCUACAUUUCCUCCUUCUUAACCCCAAAGUUGUUCUGCUCCAUUUCUGGUUUAUAAUUAACUUGUUUUCUAUUCUUUUGUGACUAUUUAUCACUUUCUAAGAUUCCAUCAAAGAUUUCUUGAACCAGCAAUCUCUCUCCAUGUGAGAGAAGUUUGUAAAUAGACUCUACUUUAAAUUCUGAAAAUUCACAUUAUGGCACAAAUACACUGAGAAUAUAGUUAUAACACAUAUGAAGUAGAACACUGUGUGACCCAGCAUUUUAUAGCUGGCAAGUGCAUAAUCACCUUAAGUACUACUUCAAGCUUUUCCUUGAGUUGCACUUCAAUUAUAAAUUGGAGCUUAAAAAUUAUCAUAUUUAAAUAGAAAGGUUUAAACCAUAUUUAGAUGUAUGGAUGCAGUCUGAAAAGUAUCAGCAACUGAACUAUCCUCCAUGGGUAAUUUGGGGACAGUCAUUUCCUUACAGAUCCAAAGGAAAUGUGCCAAAUCCUUAGUCAUUAACUCUACUUCCUGUAGAGAUGUGGCGGCUGACUUCAGGUGAAAUGCAAAUAUAAGCUGCAACCACCUCUUCAGAUUUGACAAGAGGAAAAUCCACAACCAAAUGACUUUGGACUUCUGCCAUAAGCAAUUUUGUAUAAAUAACUCUGAACUUAGGAUAGAUGGGCACAUUGAAAUUCAAAUGAGGACUUGAGAACUCCUAGGAUGGAGCAAGUGUAGUGAUGUCCCUAGACCUCUAACACAGAGCAUUCUUUGGAUCCACUGCCUGUGUAUAUCCAGUUUAACCCUAAAGUAACUCUGCUACUUAUGUGCGUUACGAUUAUGAAAUGUAAAAACAAUAAAUAUAAUAAUAAUUGACUUGUGAUAACUUUUGACAGUAUUCUUCAAAACAUUAAUUGGGCAAAAAUUCUAUAAAGCAAAGGCAUAGAAAUUAAUUUAGCUUACUUAUUAAUGAAGUAACACUUCCUUGAUAUAUAUUUGUUAUAUUUGCUAGAAAUGUACUGUUUGUUGAAGAUAAAAUUAAAAUAGAUGUAUUACCUGAAUUAAAAAUCAUAGAUAAGGUGACCGUAUAAUUCAUUGUCCAAGUCAGAACACUUGUGAGAUGGAUGAGAAUUACUUGAGCCUGACUCAUACACUAGAACUGUCCUGAGCAACUCAAUACAUAAGGUAACCAGGAGUUUUGGAGCAAGUAUGCCUACCGAGAAGCAAUCCUCCACUCUCUUACAGAGAUGUUACAGGAUUAGGGAUAGGGUUAUGUUACAUAAAACAAAAUGGGGUUAUGUUACUUGUAGUGAUUUAGGCUUACAAAAUUAUUUUAAAUACUUCUCAUUUUCUGUGGCUUUUGAAGGACAUUUGACAAUUAUUUCUUGGUUUCUGAAGUUAAUCGUAUAUUCAGUUUUCAUCCAAGAAAUAAGGACAAAGAUGAUAUUUAGCCAAAGUUUAAUUUGGAUGCAAAUUACUUCAUUUUUAUGAAAUUAAGAGGGGUAAAUUUUAUUCAUAAAUAUAAUAUUUUAUAACUACUUCUCUCAUAUUUCUAUCAUUCAUUGAGCAUCAGAAUUGCAGUGAUUAUUAGUGUAGUUAAUAUCCCAUGGUGUUGCAUCGGAGCUUUUAACAUUAAAACAUGUAUUUAUUUUCAAUCUCAUAUUCACUAGAAGUACAGUCUAAGGAUUUAGAUUUCAGUGGAAAAAUCAAACUGGCUGCCAUACAUUGCAGUAAAUCACAUUAUCCCUCCAUACACUGGAGCAAAGCAGACAUCCGACAUUACUGCAGUUCCCUGUAGCCCUUUCCAUAUAGCCUUCAAGGCUGUUAAUAAUAGAACCAAAAUAAAAUUCCUAGAGCUUCUAUGUCCAAGUCAACCUUCAUUAUAACACUCUAAAUUGCUUGAGAUGCUUUGCUAUUAUUUUCAUAUAUAUUGAAAUUUAAAUUCAAAUUCUAGGUGGAUAAAAUUAUUUUUUCCUAAGUCAAGGAGAGAACUGAAUUAAAUGGAUUACUAUUUUUAUUUCAUGUAAUACGGUGUCUAUAUGGUAUCACAGUGUGUCCCGUAAUAUAACAUCAAUUUCUUUUUUUUUUUUUUUUUUUUUUUUUGACAGGCAGAGUGGACAGUGAGAGAGAGAGACAGAAAGGUCUUCCUUUGCUGUUGGUUCACCCUCCAAUGGCCGCCCCGGCUGGCGCACUGUGCUGAUUCAAAGGAAGGAGCCAGGUGCUAUCCUGGUCUCCCAUGGGGCCCAAGCACUUGGGCCAUCCUCCACUGCAUUCCCUGGCCACAGCAGAGAGCUGGCCUGGAAGAGGGGCAACCGGGACAGAAUCUUGUGCCCCGACUGGGACUAGAACCUGGUGUGCCGGCGCCACUAAGCGGAGGAUUAGCCUGUUGAGUCGCGGCGCCGGCCGUCAAUUUCUUUUUAAUAUUUAUUUAUUAUUAUAUUUGAAAGGCAGAGUGGCAUGGAGAGAAAAAGAGAGAGAGGGAGAGGGGGAGAGAUGGAGAUUGAUCUUGCUGGUUUACUCUCCAAAUGUUUGCAACAACUGGGACUGGGCCAGGCCAAAGCCAGGAACCGGAAACUCCAUCUGGGGCUCCGACAUGAGUGACUGGAAAUCAAAUACAUUAGCCAUCGUUUACUUCCGAGGCACAUUAGUAGGGAGCUGGAUUCCAAGCCAGGCUACUGGGACUUGAACAAGCAGAUUGAUUUGGGACAUGCCUUUCCCAAUAUCAGCUUAAUCUGCUGUGCCUCAAAAUCCUUCCCCAUUCUUUUCUUUAGUAGGGUUUGACUUCAAUAACAACUGAUAUUCUUCUAGCCCAUAUUUAUUAUGCUGGCCCACUUUCAAAGUAGAGGAUGUCCUCUUCUAAUUAUAUAAUUAUGUAAUUGUUCUCUGUUAGUUUCAACAGGAUCCUCACUGCUUAUUUUAAGUGUCUGGGAAACUUUACUUUCCUUGUCAAUACCCAUAUUUCAAGGCAUCUUAAUCUUUUUAGUCUUACAUAAUUUUAUGUUAUAUGAGCAUGUGAAUCCUGCCCACAAGAUAUAUUUCAUUCCUUAUCCUGUGUCUGAACAUUUCUUUUAACUAUGGCAUUAUCCUCAACAUCAUUCACCCUAGAACUAUCUGAUUGUGAAAAAACAAUUCACUUUCCAAAUUGGAAAACUCCUACAUUUUGAGGAAUUUACCAUUCAUGAUUCUAAAUAUGAGUGGCCUUUUUUUUCUCUUUUUUUUGCUCAAUUCUUUUACUGUUUUGUGAUUCAUACCAAGAUCUGUUUUGAAAUGAAAAAGUCUUCAGAAAAUAAACCAUUAUUCAACUUUGGACAGUACCAAUGUUGGAACUAAAUAUAAUUUUGAAGAUGAUAUAUACAUUCCUUCUUGAAUAUAAUCUUUCCCUUUAGGAUACUUUUAUCCCCAAGAAGAUUGGAAACACUAUCAUAAGUUUUUUUUUCCUUUUUAGUUGCUUGAUAUGACUGUUGCUUAAUGAUCAAAUAUUUUAACAAAAUCCUAAAUAUGUAUCAUUAUAAUUUUUCUCUUUUAUUAAGCAAGUUGACUUAAAAUUAUUUGCAAUAUAUUUUCUUUUAGUGUUACAGUUAAGCUUAAUCUUUGGAAAAAUGUUCAGUGUUUUUUUAAAAAAACGGUAAAAUACUUUAUCGCAUGAAGUCAUACUGUGAUUCGAUUUCAGGGGAGUGGCCUUAAAUGCAGGGGAGGGCUAGUUCUUCAGAAGCAAUAUUCAUUUGAGCUUUAAAAACGUUAAAUGGUGACUUUGGUGACCUGAAAUAUUGCAAUGAGAACAGUAUGGCUACUUUACCUGUUGAAUUAUGCCAUUUUAAAAAUAAAUUUCUCAGUAGGAGAAAGGCUUGUUUUCUACAUAUCUUUUAUGCAUACACUCAACUCCCAUUGACAAUUAAAACUACUUAUACUGUACUUCAGUAGUGUUAGGAAGUUCAUGUGCUUGCCAGAUGGAUGAAACACAGGCACCUCUUCAGAUGGGUGUCUAGGGAGAGCACUCUGUCUACAUGUGAUUUUUCACAUCUUGGCUCACACUUCCAAAUGCAAAUCCAAUAUUAAGACACAUUGUGAAUUUAUAACACACUGGAGAUCUGUUAAUUCUGUGGACAAAGAUUAAGUUCCUUCAUGUAUUCAUCUUUUUAAUGAGGAAAAUGAUCCAAAAAGUGAAGGCAUAAUUUAAUUAAAGUGAUUUGUGUGUGUUUUAAUUCAAUCUUGUAAAUGAAUUUAUAAUACAUUUUAUUUCCAUUUCAUCUCUCUAUAUCUGAAAUGGUACCUGAAAACAACUUUUUCUUAGUGAAUGAAAGCAGAUGAAUUUCUUCAUCUACCAGCUAGCUGACAAUAGCUGAGGAAUGACUUAAAAGUGAAGUACAACUGAUUCUAGAGCUAAUUGCAAAAUCACCUUCUUACAAAUAUAUUAGUGAAAUGCAAUGCCUCCCCUUGUUUGCUUUGGCCUGCAUUUUUGAAAGUAUGGAAAUUUUGUCUGGUAAUUAAGUAGAAUUUUAUUAGGUAAAGGAGGCCGUGGAAAUGCAGGUGGAUAAUUCUGGUUCAAAUAGCUACAAUGAUAGAGUAUAAUUUAUAGCCACAGUAGUCUUAACAAAAAUAUUCCAUCCAUUAUGUGGCAAAAUAGCAUCUUGCAUACUUUGUACUUACUGAAUUGCUAUGAUCUGAAUGUACAUGUCUCUCCUCAAAAGCAUGUAUUAAAAUCCUAACCCCAAGCAGUAUUAGGAGAUAAGACCAUUUGGAUGCAUGAAGGAAGAGCCCUCAUGUGUGGAACUGAUGUCUUUACAGAGGUGACUUGAGAGAGACACCUUACGCUUCUAGCAGGGGAGAUAUGGAUGUCUAUGAGGAAAUGAACCUUGUAGGACAUUUUGUCUGCUGGUGCUUUGAUCUUUGACUUCCCAUGCUCCAGGGCUCAGAGAAGUAAAUGGUUGCUCAUAAGCCACUUGUGUAUGAUAGUUUGUUACAAUAGACAGAAUGGAUUAUUCAAUUCUUGAAUUCUUGAAUUGCAUGGGAAAAACAUUCAGACCACAUUUUUCUUUUAGAGGUUUGUUCGUUUGUUUGAAAGGUGGAGAGAUGCUGGCGCCGUGGCUCAACAGGCUAAUCCUCUGCCUAGCAGCGCCGGCACACCGGGUUCUAGUCCCGGUCAGGGCACCGGAUUCUGUCCCGGUUGCCCCUCUUCCAGGCCAGCUCUCUGCUGUGGCCAGGGAGUGCAGUGGAGGAUGGCCCAAGUGCUUGGGCCCUGCACCCCAUGGGAGACCAGGAGAAGCACCUGGCUCCUGCCAUCAGAUCAGCGCGGUGCGCCGGCUGCAGCGUGCCGGCUGCAGCGGCCAUUGGAGGGUGAACCAAUGGCAAAGGAAGACCUUUCUCUCUGUCUCUCUCUCUCACUGUCCACUCUGCCUGUCAAAAAAAAAAAAAAAAAAAAAAAAAAAAGAAGAAAGAAAGAAAGGUGGAGAGAGACAGAAAGGAAGACAAUCAUCUUCUCAUUCACUUUCCAAACUGCAAAGGCCAAGACUGAGCCAGGCCAAAGUCAGGAGCCUACAACUUCAUCUGUGUCUCCCACAUAGGUGACAGGGGCCUAAAUACUUUGGUCUUCAUCUGAUGCUUCCCCAGGUGCAUUAAUAGAAAGCUGAGGCACAAAUGAAAUAUCUGGGACUUAAACCAAUAUUCCAAUAUGAGAUAACAAUGGCGCAAGUGUUGGUUUAACAAGCAGUGCCACAAUUCCAGACCCUUAGCAAAAUUUGAAUAUCUGUCUGUUUUUUGUUGUUAUGCACAUCUCUCAGG